UACGUAGGCAGCGAGCGUUGUUCGGAGUUACUGGGCGUAAAGGGUGUGUAGGCGGUUUUCUAAGUUUGGUGUGAAAUCUCCCGGCUCAACCGGGAGGGUGCGCCGAAAACUGGGAGACUAGAGUGCGGGAUGGGAGAGUAGAAUUCCUGGUGUAGCGGUGAAAUGCGUAGAUAUCAGGGGGAAUCCCGGUGGUGUAGACGGCUCUCUGGACCGCCACUGACGCUGAGACACGAAAGCGUGGGUAGCAAACAGG
rnacentral:rRNA from 1 species